GAAGCUAAGUUCUGAGUUUUUAAGCGAUAUGUUCAAGGACUCUGAAUAAGUCCAUUAUAUUAUAAAAUGGAAUGUUUUGUUGUUAACCAGAAUAGCUAUACACUGGUUGUCAAGCCAUUUAAUUACAACUAGAUACUUCGAACUUCUAUAAUUCGCAGGAAAGUGAAAGUUAUGACUAAUAGACUCUUGUGAAAUAUAGCUAGAAACUCCAGUUUCCAUUGGUAUGAAAGAGUUUCGACUUCAAUCCCACUUCUUCCUUAGAACAAAAGGGAAAAUUGUAAAAAUAUCGCAGACAGUGGAAUGUGAGCAAAACGGCAAUAUCAACAUCAGCAGCGAAUGUGAAACAAGCGCUGAGAUACAGAUACAAAACACUUAUUUUUAAUUUCGAUGAAUCACCAUCGGUUUGGUUCAGUUCGCUUUGGGUUCAGUUCGGUUUUGGUUUUGGCUUUGGUGUUUUGGUUUGGUUCAGUUUGGCUGAAACGAAAUUCAGCGACGUCGUCGAUGACUGCAUGCCUCGCACUGAAGACUGAAGACAGAAGACGGGAGAACGGAGAAUUCGGGGGCGGAGAACGGAGAACGGAAAGCCGAGAACAGAGAAGACGCAAAACAAACUGAAAGAAUGCACAAAGAGCAGACGACGAUCAAAGCCAAAACGUAAGGAAAAACGUUACAAAAAAAGUUCUGGGGGAAUAAUACUUACACAGGCACGAAUGUAUCUCCAGUCGAGGGCCCCAACCCCUCCGACAUUCCACAGACCCUACGCCAGUUGACAGAGAUAAGGGGUUAUCGUAGCCCUCAAAGUUUACUUGGAGGUACGCAGCUUAAAACAACCUGUACACUGCGAGAAUAAUUAACAAUACAGCGAAAGCUUGCAAAUUCAAAGAUACCAAGCUACUACCUACGCCAAAAUCCAUACAGAUCGAAGUUCUUCCAACUCCAUACAGAUACAAAUAGAACCUAUUAUUUUUUCUAGUGCCCGCCUUUGAGGAACAUCGCAGGCGGCCUGUCAGCAUCCUUUUGUGCGCAGGAGAAUAGAGCAGCGGCGGAAGUGCUUUGUCGCCAUUGAUGUGACAACGACUUCCGCUGUCUCAGCCUUACCUGGGCAGUCCGGCUCUUUCGUCGGCCUGGACUGCUCGCAAAUAUUGAUUAUUCGAGAUUGCGUGCCAUAUGGGCUACGGCAAGGUGAGGAGUGAAGCGGGGGCGGCGGCGGGGCAGCGUUGUGAGGGGGUGGCUAAGUCACCGACAACGGCGCACAUCAAAGGCUUCGUCAAAGUUCUCAUUCUGGCGUUGUUGCUGUCGUCAUUUGCAUUUUGGCGGGUUCCCAAUGAGAAGUGAGCGAAGGUCUCUCAAAUUGAUUGUGAGCCGCAAAACCUGGGAAAGACCUUUGCAUAUGCAUGUCAAGAGUUGUCCGGUGUUCGGUGCUCAGUGCUCCAUUGUUGUUGCAAGCUGGUGCUGUUGUUGUUGUGGUUGCAUGUUGCUGCUGUUGCCAAUAUUGCUGCUCAGCCUGUUGCUUGGCUUCGCCUGGCAGCCGGGUUUCUGUGUCAGCCACCUGCCUGCCUGCCAGCCUGCCAGCCUGAUCCGCCUUAGGAUCUUUGCGACUCGUUUCAGCACCCGGCCUGCCCCCCUUGUGCUCCACAACCCGCUCCUGUUAAUUGCUAAGGCUGACCGAUGCCACGCCCCGAAAUGAAUAUUAAAAUGUGUUGCAACAAAUACGAAGAGCACAUGAAUAAGUAAAAACCGUUGACCACUGCAGCCGGGAGCCAGGAUAGCACUUCCUUUUGACCACAGCAUUAUCAUCGAAGAGGGAGCAACUGGAGCUACAGAGUCUAAGUGAAAUUUUAGAUGCUCUGUAAGCAUAACAAACUGUGACCGUUUAAAUAAAUAUACAAAUACAAUAAAGCAAUUGAAUUUGAGAUGAUUUAAAAA